rnacentral:rRNA from 1 species
UCGACGCGCCCUUGGGCUUCGGUCUAGGGGUGAGUGGCGCACGGGUGAGUAGCGCGUGGGAACCUGCCCUGAAGUGGGGGAUAACCGAGGGAAACUUCGGCUAAUACUGCAUACGCCGGUGGUGACACCGGGAAAGAUUUAUCGCUUCAGGAGGGGCCCGCGUCGGAUUAGCUUGUUGGUGGGGUAACGGCCUACCAAGGCAGUGAUCCGUAGCUGGUCUGAGAGGAUGACCAGCCACACUGGGACUGAGACACGGCCCAGACUCCUACGGGAGGCAGCAGUGGGGAAUAUUGGACAAUGGGCGCAAGCCUGAUCCAGCAAUGCCGCGUGAGUGAGGAAGGCCUUAGGGUUGUAAAGCUCUUUCACCCACGACGAUGAUGACGGUAGUGGGAGAAGAAGCCCCGGCUAACUUCGUGCCAGCAGCCGCGGUAAUACGAAGGGGGCGAGCGUUGUUCGGAUUUACUGGGCGUAAAGGGCGCGCAGGCGGCGGACCAAGUCAGGCGUGAAAGCCCCGGGCUUAACCUGGGAACUGCGUCUGGGACUGGUAUGCUAGAGUUCGGGAGAGGAGAGUGGAAUUCCCAGUGUAGAGGUGAAAUUCGUAGAUAUUGGGAAGAACACCGGUGGCGAAGGCGGCUCUCUGGACCGAGACUGA